rnacentral:lncRNA from 1 species
UUUUUUUUUUUUCUGGUGUGGGGAGGGGUCUUAUUUUUCAUGGAUGAGUUCUGGGCUUGACGAAGGUGGGUCUAACGUGACAGAGCCCAGGCCCAGUUCAAACGCGACUCAGUGCUGUACGUAAACGCUCACGGAAGGCGGAAAAAGCUCUCCCCUGUUCCCUCUCCGGUUCGCCCUAAACCCCUCCCCUCUCCUCCUCCGCGACCUCUCUCUCCAUGGCCGCCAAGAGGAAGCUCGGCAGGCCGCCGCCGGCGGCGGCUCCAGCGGCGCCGAAGGCCAAGGCCAAGGCAAAUGAAGACGACGGGGAGGGGCUCUUCUCCUCGCGCUCCUUCGCCGACCUCGGCCUCCACCCCACCCUCUGCGCCCACCUCCAAGGUCCCUCCCUCCCUCCCCCUCUCCAACUCCCCAUGUCUCCGUGGCUCGCUAGCCGCCUCCAUCUACCGUCGUCCAUGUGUUUUCUGCUUCCUGUUCGAGCUUCCCAUCGAAGCAGCGACUGAUCGAGGCAAUUAGUUAGCAGUACCCCAUCGAAUUAGUGCAGAAAGAAUGCAAAUUUCAUGGCUCUCCGUCCCAAGCUGGGACGAGUAUCCCAUCAAAUUCUUGGUUGCUGGGUCAAAUCUAGCGGAAGAACUCACAUGUUUCGGUGAGAUUUUGCAUAUUGGGACGCCGCGGUAGGGUGUAUGUCUCUGUAUCCUGCCGAGCACAGACACAGCCUGCAAGCAUAGGGAUGGGUUGUCAACACAUUCUGCAGAAACUAAUGUACUUCUUACUCCCUUCUGCUUUGCUGAUAGUUUACCGUUUUCGUUUCUCUGGUGUAGAUAAGAUGGGUUUCCAGGGGCCGACGCGGAUCCAGGCACAGGCGAUUCCCGUCGCCAUGUCAGGGCAGCACCUGUAUGCACCCAUCAGAACCUCAUUUUGCUCAUCUGCAUAAACUACAGUGCUGCUUCUGUAUUCAAAGGUUUCUUUGUUGUUUUCUGCGUCCGCCAACUGCAGGCUCGUGAAGGCGGCGACUGGCACCGGCAAGACGCUCGCGUACCUCGCGCCGAUCGUCCACCUCCUCCAGAUGAGGGAGCCUCGUGUCGAGAGAACUCAUGGAACUUUUGGUAAUGACUCGUUGCGCUCUGCUCUUGUUCCUUUUUUUUUGUUGCAUAUACGUGGUGGAUAUGCUCUGUUUAUCAUGGUAGUUUUUGGGGUCAUUAAAUUUGGUUGGUGGUUAUAUCUGCUGGAGUUCAGCUAUGUUACCAGUUUAUAUAUAUAAGGAAAAUUGCUGAUAUAGCUGAUUGAUAUGUCGGCUGAAACAUAACCGAAAGGUCCAAAAGAAACCAUAUCAUACAACUGUAUAAUUGAACUCUAUCAGUUGCUAUAUGAAGGGUCCCCGAUUAAACUCAUCUAUCAAAUUUCUAUGGAACUACAAAAUUGUAAAUCACUCUAGUAGUUGUCUCUUGAAGAACCCUCGAUAUUCUGAAUGAUGUUACUAAUUAUUUUACUGCAGCGUUGGUAAUUGUUCCAACGCGGGAGCUGUGCUUGCAGGUUUAUGGGAUCACGCAGCAGUUGGUGCAUCGUUUUCACUGGCUUGUCCCUGGGUAUGUGAUGGGUGGUGAGAGCAGAUCAAAAGAGAAAGCAAGACUGCGGAAAGGUAUAUUUUGUCCCGUCAAGGAGUUGAUGCAACUUCUCAUAUACUCCCUCCGUCCCAAAAUAAGUGUCUCAACUUUAGUACAACUUUGUACUAGAGUUAGUACAAAGUUGAGACACUUAUUUUGGGACGGAGGAAGUAAAAUGUUGCCUUUAUACAAUCUUGUAUUUUGACUCCAUGUAUUUUCUCUAGGAAUAUCAAUCCUAAUUGCCACUCCUGGGCGCCUUCUGGACCACUUACAGCAUACUUCAUCAUUUGUUUAUUCAAAUUUGCGCUGGAUAGUUUUCGAUGAAGCUGACAGGUCUGCUAGUCAUAAACUCAUCAUUUUCUUGACGAUUUUCCAUACAAGAUAUCUUAUCCAAUGGACACAACUCUUACUGCAAUGGUGUUUAUUUGUAUUCAUGCAGCAUUCUUGAGCUUGGUUUUGGAAAAGCAGUCGAGGAUAUACUAGGGCUCUUGGGUUCCAGGACCGAUGCUUCUGAUGAGAAUAAAAGCAAAACUGACCCUAUGCAAAGGCAAAACCUUCUCUUAUCAGCAACUCUCAACGAAAAGGUGAACCGCUUGGCCAACAUUAGUUUAAAGAACCCAGUCAUGAUUGGACUUGACGAACAAAAGAAGCCUUCUGAGAGGUCCCGUGCCCUAGGGAAGAAGCACACUUCCUUAUUAUCUGACGAUGAGGAGGACAUACCUGACAAGCACAAUAAUAUAGUGGAACCUGCAGUUGAUGAUUUUAAGCUUCCUGCACAAUUGGUUCAAAGAUAUGUUAAAGGUAGCGGAAAUUUGCUUGCUUGGAACUUUACAUGCUUGCCAUGUGUUGCUUUGGUACUUACUGCAAUGUUUUCUGUUUUAUGCAGUUUCAUGUGGUUCGAGGCUUGCGGUUCUCCUUACCAUUCUGAAAUCUCAAUUUGAAAGACAAGUGUCCCAGAAGGUAUUUUCUAUAUACCAUGAAGCUGUUUAACUUUCACUAGCCUUUUUUUUUCACCGCAAGUUUUGCUUGUCACACUGUACGCUCUGGAGGUCCUGAGAAUUGAGUUAGUUUCAUCUUUCUUCUGCAGGUUGUUGUUUUCAUGUCAACAUGUGACGCUGUAGAUUUCCACCACACUGUACUCAGCCAGCUUGAGUGGAGCCGUGGCCUCGCAUUAGACACAGAUAAGAAGCAAAAAUUUCUUGGCUGCAAAGUGUUCCGUCUACAUGGUAACAUGGACCAGGAAGACCGCAAAAAAUCAUACUUGGGAUUCAGUUCUGAAAAAUCUGCAAUCCUUGUAUGUACCGAUGUUGCUGCUAGAGGCCUGGACAUUCCCAAAGUUAGGUGCAUCAUACAGUAUGAUUCACCCGGGGAGGCUUCCGAAUAUGUUCACAGGUACCUUAAGCAUCUCAUGUCAUGCAUUUUUAGGUUAUACUGGUCUCAUAUUUUCUCCAUAAUUGUUGCCAGAUUCUUUGUUCAUAUGCAACUGAAUGAAGCAAACACACAGAGUUCUUUCUCUUCAUUACUGUCAAUCUUGUACACUGUUUAGCUCUUUCUUGUGAAAUGCUGUGGCGUUUUGUAGUUCUUUUAAGAAGAUUUGAUAUUAUAAGCUAAUAAAGACAGUUUACCUCAUACUUCGUCUGCACUAGCAUCUUCUUCUGGGUAUGCUUGAGUUUCAAUAACAUCAGUUGUUUGUUAUAGGGUUGGAAGAACUGCAAGGAUUGGUGAAAAGGGAGAGGCCCUCCUGUUUCUCCAACCUGUUGAACUCGACUACUUGAAAGACCUAGAGCUACACGGUGUAUCUCUGACUGAAUACCCCUUCCAAAAGGUUUUAGACGGUUUCCCUGUGAACGGAGAGAAGCCUCUCAAGAGGAAGCCAAUAUCUUUAGAUAUGCACCCAUGGAUACUCUCUGUACAGAGAACGCUGGAAAAUUACGUCGCAUCCGAGGUAACACAUUUUUUUCUCCUUCCUUCAGUUGACUCUUGCAUAGCUAGAAGAACAGCUCCGAUUGCUUCUUUAUUGUAAAAUAUCAUGCUUCUGCGGAUCUCAACAAAUGUGCUAUCAUGUACUCUUAUCCAGGCCACAACAAAUAAGCUUGCAAGGGAUGCCUUCUGUUCCUGGCUUCGCGCCUACACCGCCCACCGAGGGGAGCUGAAGAAGAUUUUCAUGGUGAAGAAGCUCCACCUGGGACAUGUCGCGAGAAGCUUCGGGUUGAAGGAGCAACCCUCGCUGGUCGGGAGGUCGCACCAGGUGCAACUCAAGAAGAGGAAGAAAGAACAGAAACGCGAAGGACAAGGACCGACCAAGCGGAGAAAAUUCCCCACCAAAAAGUGAAUUCCCAUAUGGUAAUAGAAGAUCGUCACACAGGAGACAGCACCUGAUGGAUGGUGGAUCAUGAAACUAACAGCAGCAGCGAUUUUUGCAAGAAACUCACGAGAGCUAGACAACUAAUUUACUGUGCAAUCACAGGAUUUUGUUACGUUUCCUUGGAUGUAAAAUGUUUGAUUAUCUUUGAUCAUAACUCUUGUUUGUCAACCUCAUGCUCGUCUGUUCGUCCGUUUGGAAGCAACUGCUCGCUCGAAAUCACGAAAUAACAAAAUCUCACGAUGAGCUUGAAAUCAUGAAAUAACAAAAUCUAAUGAUGAUCUACAUGUUAAAACAUUUUAUUGAAUCGACAUAAGAGAAUGAUAUCCAAUAGUUACAUGUCAAGCAUACUGAACAUGUUCUGCCAACAACUGGUAUGCUAAGAUGUUCUAUCAAAAUUACACUGGGAUUCAGAGACAACAUGACUGCCUGAACCGAUUCCAUACAAUGCUGUUCUAGGGCUCUUCAAUAAUCUACAGAGUUCUGGUGAAUUUUUUUCCGCCAAUCCGAUCCCAUAUCACGGUAUGUUCAACAAAGGAGCUUCUCAUCAAAAGUGAGCCAAACUGUACACAAGAAUCCAUGAAAGCUGCAACAAGAAACAACAAUCUUCUUGUCAGUUUGUAAGUAAACAUCAUCUGCUGAUUGAAUAUGCAUUGUCAAAGAAGUAAUGUGCUCCCUCUGUCCGGAAAUACUUGUCGAAGACCUAAAAUAUGUCUAGAUACAUCCAUUUCUCCGACAAGUACUUGCUAUGUGCCUUGUCCAAGAAAUGGAUAAAUCCUAAAAUAUGUCAGAUACAUCCAUUUCUCUGACAAGGACUUGCUAUGUGCUAUUACUACUUCAACCUUUUAUGUACUUGCUACUGCAGACUGGAUUUCAGAAUGAUUACAGAGAACAGCAACAUCAUGAUGGUAGAAAGAACCAAUAAAUGCAGUCUGGGUUUAGGAAACCAAAAUUGUUGAAUGAAAGGCUUUACCAGGAAAAGGGUGAAAGAUGCAAACAUCCCCUCCUGAAGCAGCGCGCCAUGGCCUCCAAAUUCUUCCUCGUCGACCUUCAAUAGGUGCGCAUAGUACCAGUAAAUUAUGCCAGAAGAAAUGGCCACGAACCUGUGAGAAAUCAGGCAGUAUAACCAUCAAAAGCUCACAAACAGGUAGCUAAAACAGGGCCCUAAUAACCAAAACACAUUCCAACAAAAAAUACAUCUCAACGGGCUCAUGGCAGCAACACUGGAUCUCAAUUUGUACGAAAGCCUUGCCCGCAUUCCAAAUUUGAAAACAGCUAAUUAUUACUCACAAUACCAGAAAUAACUGAAACGGCAAGAUCCUUACACCCCGGCCAGGGCAAAAAAAAAGGAGAACCCAGUUGAGGUACUACAAGAAACAUGUGUGCUGUGCUCAGGCCUUGCAAAUCCAGCAACUCCCUGAACAACAUUAUUCCUCCUAAAAUCCGUUCAACUCCAGCAGCACCCCGAAAUGGCACCCCCUAAAUAACAUUUGUAACAGCUAGUUCUCCAACGAAGGGGAACCUUGGCGCAGCGGUAAAGCUGUUGGAGUCACGGGUUCGAGUCCUGGAAACGGCCGCUUGCAAAAAUGUAGGGAAAGGCUACGUACCAAAGGGAGGAGGCUCCCCUGACGUGUGGGCCAGCAUGUAGGUUGGCAGGGUGCGGUACGUCAGGGGAGCCACCUCCGUACCAAAGACCACCCAAAGUGGUCGGACCCUGCACGAGCGGGAGCUACGUGCACCGGGCUGCCCUUUUUUUAGUUCUCCAACGGCUAGUUUCCAUGUCCAUAUACACAAGUUCAUCCCCCAUAUCUCUCUCUCUCACACACACUCCUGUCCUAGCUCUGUCUCCUCUUCCACAUCCCAUUCCCCAUCUCUCCGCAAUCUCCCGCAACGAAAUGAGCGGCCGCCGUCGCAGCUUGGCCUGGCAAUACUUCUUGGAUUCCUCGUCCCACGAAGAGGAGCUACUCUACAUGGCCGCAAUCAUAGCGCAAGAAGACCAAGAGCGGCUGGAUGCUCCACCACUCCAUGACAGUUCUAUGCCAGGAAGUCUCUGCUCCUCGGUCGCCGGCGCAUCCGCUACAACCUCCCGCGUCCGCCAGCCCACCGCAUCCACCACAUCCACUGCGGCCUCCCGCAACCGCCGCGUCCGCCGCCCCGCCUCUGCUUCCCGGUCACCGCCGCCUAGGCACCACGGAUCACCUGCGCGGACGGCGGUGACCACCUCUCCCGCUCCCCCAGGUCACCCUCUCUCGGUCACCGCUCUUCCGGCCGGCUUCGUCGCGCGGAACGGGGAGGGGCCGGAGGCGGAGCACGAGGUCGAGGAGAGCGGAUAGCCGGUGAGGCGAGAGGGGAGCUGCUGCCGGCACGACGGCUCCGCGGGCAAGAGAAGAGAAAAGAAAAAGCGGGGGGCAGGAGAUUCGGGGCGCUUACAGGACGAUCCAGGUGGCGCCGACGAGCGGGACGGCGCCCCAGAGAAGGCCGCAGGCGAGGCCCACCGCCUGGCGGAUCCAGUGCACGGCGUCCAGCAGCCGGUCCUUGUCCCACGGCGCCUCCGGGUCGAGGUACCGCGCGAGCCCGGACGGCGCCGCGUGCCCGGCCCCGCCGCCCUGCUGCGCCGCCUGGCUCUUCUUCGCCGCCGCCGACGACGGCUUCGCCCGCGCCAUGGUGGGUGGGGCGGCGGCGGGAUCGAGGUGUGGGGGGGAGACGGCGAUGGGAUCGAGGCGGAGGAAAAUAGUCGUCUUUCCCUCCUUGGACUGAAGAAGAAGAUCUCGUGCGUGUCUGGUUGGUGGUUGGGGUUUUGCGCGCAGGCCCUCGGAUAAUGCCGGUAUUUGCGCUCACGCCCCUAAAAAGUGAAAAAGGCAAAUCAUUGGCCCAUCAUGGGUGCACUCGAUUGGCAUUGUCCGGUCUAGAGCUAGAUUUUGCAAAACAAAACAAAAAUGGAAAAAUAAAAGCGGGAUUGCAAAAUCUCAGUCAACCGAGAGCUAACGGUGCUAUAUUCAUGAUACCUUACGUGGAGGCUCGUGCAAAAAUUUCUUUUAGUUUCGUUUCUUCCUCUCUUUUUUUAUAUGUUGUGUCACUCGACCGAGACUUGGUUAAAAUCUUAGCUGACCGAGAUCCAGCCACACCCAAAAGGAAACCUUGCUUUUGGAUAAUGGCCGUUUCAUUUCGCAUGAUUUUUUUUUAAAACGUUGGGAUAUAAAGAAACGCGUGAUUGAAGUAUCUUGGAUCUUGUAUGAUUUAGAAAACGACAUGAAUUUCAAACCAGAGAGUGCUUGAGAACACAGAAAACAAAAAGGUAAUUUUACCAAGAGGUCCAUGUCGAUGAAUUUUUUCCUCCAAACCCCUAGAGAUCCCGUCCUUACGAAUCAAACGAUCAACGCAUGAACAAGCCGCAAAUAAACGGCAAAAGACUGGCCACCAUUUUGGCAAAAGCAUAACACAAAAAUAUAUGGCAAAAAGAGCAUGGCACGAACACGAGUAGUAUGACAUUAGCCAUAAACAGAUGCAAAUUGAUGAAAUGGCCAUGAACUGAAAUACACCGAAGAUCUCGACCGUAACAUUGCACGGCACUACAUAGGCUCAACAAUAGAUCCUACAUUGCAGACACAGCAAGGAUGUCAACCGGGUCCCGUUUAAUCCCGUUUAAAGUCCACUUAUGAUAUGAUAAUUCAAAAAGGUUUUUUGUUUGUUUGAGGAAAAUGAACUAUCAAGCUAGCAAAAACUAACUAAACGGGAUUGCGGACGCCAUUUAUUUGCCACUUACAUCCCUAAGCAAAAUCACGCCCAGAAACUACAUCCACCUUCGGCACCAAGCCUCUCCGCGACAAAAACCAUGUCCAAAAUCACACCAACGCUUCGGAGGCCACACCAAACUCUGUUCUAAACGAUCGACAAACGAUUCCGCAGGCUUUCUGCGAGCCAAGCCAUCCUUGGAAGUUAAAGGGGACUAAAGAAAAGCAUUCUCUUUGGGGAGUUAAUGGGGGUUGAACAAUAGCCGAGUCUGCUGCCCAACGACGUUUACAGGGAAGAGCGGGAUAGCCAAAUUAUCGGUUAGGAAUUAGUUUGGCCAGGUCAGGGUACGCAUCAGCUGGCAACUCCCUCGUUCCCC